GACGAACGCUGGCGGCGUGCUUAACACAUGCAAGUCGAACGGAAAGGCCCUGCUUUUGUGGGGUGCUCGAGUGGCGAACAGGUGAGUAACACGUGAGUAACCUGCCCUUGACUUUGGGAUAACUUCAGGAAACUGGGGCUAAUACCGGAUAGUAGCUCCUGCUGCAUGGUGGUGGUUGGAAAGUUUCGGCGGUUGGGGAUGGACUCGCGGCUUAUCAGCUUGUUGGUGGGGUAGUGGCUUACCAAGGCUUUGACGGGUAGCCGGCCUGAGAGGGUGACCGGCCACAUUGGGACUGAGAUACGGCCCAGACUCCUACGGGAGGCAGCAGUGGGGAAUAUUGCACAAUGGGCGGAAGCCUGAUGCAGCAACGCCGCGUGCGGGAUGACGGCCUUCGGGGUGUAAACCGCUUUCGCCUGUGACGAAGCGUGAGUGACGGUAAUGGGUAAAGAAGCACCGGCUAACUACGUG
rnacentral:rRNA from 1 species